rnacentral:rRNA from 1 species
UACAGAGGGGGCCAGCGUUAUUCGGAAUUAUUGGGCGUAAAGGGCGCGUAGGCGGCCAUGCGUGUCUUCCGUGAAAUCCCUCGGCUUAACUGAGGACGUGCGGAAGAAACUGCAAGGCUCGAGUCCGGGAGAGGGGGUGUAGAAUUCCCGGUGUAGUGGUGGAAUGCGUAGAUAUCGGGGGGGAAUACCAGUGGCGAAAGCGGCACCCUAGCAUUUUUUCUGACGCUCA